ACUCAAAUGAAUUGACGGGGGCCCGCACAAGCGGUGGAGCAUGUGGUUCAAUUCGACGCAACGCGAAGAACCUUACCAGCUCUUGACAUUAGACGUAUGGGGCCGAGAGAUCGGCUCCUUCAGUUCGGCUGGCGUCCAAACAGGUGCUGCAUGGCUGUCGUCAGCUCGUGUCGUGAGAUGUUGGGUUAAGUCCCGCAACGAGCGCAACCCUCAUCUUCAGUUGCCAUCAGGUUAAGCUGGGCACUCUGAAGAAACUGCCGGUGACAAGCCGGAGGAAGGUGGGGAUGACGUCAAGUCCUCAUGGCCCUUAUGGGCUGGGCUACACACGUGCUACAAUGGCGACUACAGUGGGAUGCGACGGAGCGAUCCUGAGCUAAUCCCCAAAGGUCGCCUCAGUUCGGAUUGCACUCUGCAACUCGAGUGCAUGAAGUCGGAAUCGCUAGUAAUCGCGCAUCAGCACGGCGCGGUGAAUACGUUCCCGGGCCUUGUACACACCGCCCGU
rnacentral:rRNA from 1 species